rnacentral:rRNA from 1 species
UCCCCGGGCUCAACCUGGGAACUGCAUUCGAAACUGGCAGGCUUGAGUCUUGUAGAGGGGGGUAGAAUUCCAGGUGUAGCGGUGAAAUGCGUAGAGAUCUGGAGGAAUACCGGUGGCGAAGGCGGCCCCCUGGACAAAGACUGACGCUCAGGUGCGAAAGCGUGGGGAGCAAACAGGAUUAGAUACCCUGGUAGUCCACGCCGUAAACGAUGUCUACUUGGAGGUUGUGCCCUUGAGGCGUGGCUUCCGGAGCUAACGCGUUAAGUAGACCGCCUGGGGAGUACGGCCGCAAGGUUAAAACUCAAAUGAAUUGACGGGGGCCCGCACAAGCGGUGGAGCAUGUGGUUUAAUUCGAUGCAACGCGAAGAACCUUACCUGGUCUUGACAUCCACGGAAGUUUUCAGAGAUGAGAAUGUGCCUUCGGGAACCGUGAGACAGGUGCUGCAUGGCUGUCGUCAGCUCGUGUUGUGAAAUGUUGGGUUAAGUCCCGCAACGAGCGCAACCCUUAUCCUUUGUUGCCAGCGGUUAGGCCGGGAACUCAAAGGAGACUGCCAGUGAUAAACUGGAGGAAGGUGGGGAUGACGUCAAGUCAUCAUGGCCCUUACGACCAGGGCUACACACGUGCUACAAUGGCGCAUACAAAGAGAAGCGACCUCGCGAGAGCAAGCGGACCUCAUAAAGUGCGUCGUAGUCCGGAUUGGAGUCUGCAACUCGACUCCAUGAAGUCGGAAUCGCUAGUAAUCGUGGAUCAGAAUGCCACGGUGAAUACGUUCCCGGGCCUUGUACACACCGCCCGUCACACCAUGGGAGUGGGUUGCAAAAGAAGUAGGUAGCUUAACCUUCGGGAGGGCGCUUACCACUUUGUGAUUCAUGACUGGGGUGAAGUCGUAACAAGGUAACCGUAGGGGAACCUGCGGUUGGA